CAGAGGAGAGGAAGAGUGUGUGAGGAGCUGGGAGCAAGUGGCACAAGGAGCUGAGGAGGGAAGAAGAAUUAAAGUCGUUAUUGAAAGUUUCUGACCUGAAGCUAUUGGUCCCAGCAGGAUUAUUCUGAUUUUACUUUGCAAGUGUAGCAGAGAACAGCAGAUAAAGAACCGGUUUCUACAUGGUUUGACCUUUGCUGAGUAGUAAGACAUGGAGUAAAUUGAACUAUGAAGAUGGCUAAGUCAAAACCGAGAACCCAGUGGUUAAGGAAAUAAGGAGCAUAUAAAAGUCCAUUGUUUCAAUCACUAAUUGAAGUGUUAAUGUAGAAAAAAGACAAAACAGAUGUGCUGCAUUAUUAACAUUCAGAGUACAACUUGAGAAGUUAUGUUUUUAUAAGCAAUCUAGCACUGGACAUGGGAGAUGAGGUGCAUGUAAACCAAAAAUGACAACUGAGUACAAGCUAUGCUACUUUUAAAAGCCUUUAAACAAGUGCUGAGUUUACAAUGUAUCUCCCCAGCCCCAUUUUUUCCACAUGCAGGUAAAAAUGUUAUUAUGUUUUGCCCUGAUUAAUUUCAUAUUUAAUAGCACUUUUGAUCUUUUUAAGACAGUUUUAAAACAGCUUUUAUAGCCAUAUACUAGGGGACACAAAGGGAUAUCCCUGAAGAUUAGCUGCCUUCUAGUUACCCAACAAACCUGUACCAUCCUUGACACUCUGCCUGAAAGAUAAAUUUAUCAUUUUGACAUUCAACUACAAAGAAAACCACAAAAAAUGGGGUCAUUUUUUAUCAUAUCCUGUUCUAUGAUUAUGUAAUACAACAUAUUCAGGAUAUUUAAACACUGCAGAGACUACCUGUAUAAUUCUGAAAAAUACUACUGGAGCUCCUCCAGAGACAGUUUAUCGCCUGCAGCAGGAUAGAUGCUAUGAACUGCAUGAUAGUAUCCCUCACUUUUCCAAUCAAAAGAUGCUUUUAGCUUUGGUGAUGCAAGAAUGGUGUUUACAGUUGAACAGUGACCAGUAUAGCAAUAAAGAACUAUUUCCAACCAUUUUUACAGAGCGUGUAUUUCAAAAGAAAUGAAAAGCAACUGAUACUAUCCCAAAGCUCUUUGAAGGAAGAAGAAAAAAAAAAGUACUGAAGACAGCGCAGAAACUAGACAGUAAAAAAAAAAUCAGAUGUUUUGAUUUCACCUAUGUAGUUGAAUCCCAAUUUUACACAGGAUCGCAGGGUAUUUAAAAUCAGGACAUUGACUGCAGAUAGUUGUGCUCGGAGACGUAGCUAUUUCUUAAACAAAGCAUAUACAUUUUAAUUGCAGAUUUAAUCUGCCUCGUUUAAACACUUUUGCAACGUUUGUUUAAUGCCACAGAAGCGGCACUUUCACAGCAAGCGUCUCAACUCCGAUUCCAAGUAGUUUAUAUUAGUAAAACAAGAACGCCAAUUAGACUACAGGAUCGUACUCUAAAACGAGCUUUGCUUAACCAGGAAGUGCAUCGACCGUGUUACAGUCUAGCAGAUUACAGAACCCCACGAAUUUCUCCCUUGUCUUAAUGCAUGCAGAGCCUUUGGGGCAAUCGCAAUGCAGAUUAACCACCACAUCGAGAGGGAAAUUAACUCUCUCGUCU